rnacentral:rRNA from 1 species
CCUACGGGAGGCAGCAGUGGGGAAUAUUGCACAAUGGGGGAAACCCUGAUGCAGCGACGCCGCGUGAGUGAAGAAGUAUUUCGGUAUGUAAAGCUCUAUCAGCAGGGAAGAAGAAAGACGGUACCUGACGAAGAAGCCCCGGCUAACUACGUGCCAGCAGCCGCGGUAAUACGUAGGGGGCAAGCGGUAUCCGGAUUUACUGGGUGUAAAGGGAGCGUAGACGGCUGUGCAAGUCUGAAGUGAAAGCCCAUGGCUCAACCCUGGGACUGCUUUGGAGACUGGGGAGCUAGAGUGAUGGAGAGGUAAGUGGAAUUCCUAGUGUAGCGGUGAAAUGCGUAGAUAUUAGGAGGAACACCAGUGGCGAAGGCGGCUUACUGGACAGUAACUGACGUUGAGGGUCGAAAGCGUGGGGAGCAAACAGGAUUAGAUACCCGAGUAGUC